CAGAAGCGUAUAUUUGUACUGCUGCAGUUAAAAAGCUCGUAGUUGGAUUUCUGGUAUAGACUUCCCGCCCCGCCACCGUUAGGUGCGCGAGAGGUGGAGAAUUCUUGCCAUCCUCCCCACACAGCGUGUACCCUUCAUUGGGCCGCAUGUCUGUUGGGGACUUUUACUUUGAACAAAAUCGAGUGUUUACAGCAAGCUAUUGCCGUGAAGAACUCAGCAUGGAAUAAUAAGAUAGGAUCUCCUGAUCCCAUCUGUUGGUCCUGGAAUCGGAGAUAAUGAUUGAUAGGGGCGGUUGGGGGCGCUAGUACUCAUUGGCCAGAGGUGAAAUUCUUGGAUUCAAUGAUGACUAACUCAUGCGAAAGCGUUCGCCAAGGACGUCUUCUUUAA
rnacentral:rRNA from 1 species